AUGGACAAUCCUAUAACCCUGCAGCCACUUUUGCACAAGCCAAUUAUUUAAGGAACAAUAAUAUUCUGAUCAUAGCAGUUGGAAUCGGCAGCGGCAUUUCUAAAUAUGAACUUGACAGAAUGGCGUCCGGUCCGUCAUACGUUCUACAUGUUGAAGAUUUCAAUGCAUUAAGUCAUAUUUACGAUUCAAUCCACUCGAUUGCUUGUAUAUUGGGUAAGACUUUCUUAACUUAUAUAAACUUAAAUCAGUAGCUCAAAGAUAUCACAAGCCCAGUAGUCAGCACUUUUUGUGCUGACAUGAAUUGUCAUUCAUAUGGUUAUAUUUAUAAAUUUACUGUUUUCAAAUGUUUGAAUUUUUUGAAAUACUAAGGCUUUUCUAUAUCUCAGGCAUAUAUUACCUUAGCUGUAUUUGGCAUAACUUUUAGUAAUUUUGGUUCUCAAUGCUCUUCAACUUCGUACUUUAUUUGGCCUUUUUUUUUUUUCUUUUUUUUUUUUUUUUUUUUUAACUUAUUUGGAUUCGAGCGUCACUAAGUCUCAAAGAGUCUUUUGUAGACGAAACGCGCGUCUGGCGUAUAUACUAAAUUUAGUUCUGGUAUCUAUGAUGAGUUUAUAUAGAGUCAAAUAUAUUGCAUAACAAAUUACACUCGUCAGUGUCGGUCCAUUGAAGUUAUGGAAUAAGAAAAAUCCUUACUUUACAUUUAUUUUAAAAGUUUAGCACAGUCGAGACGAGAUUAAAAAUGUAAGACACUAAUUAUUUUCUUGAAAUACUUGUUUUCUUUCUCAUUAACGAUUUCUCUCCAUUUGUUUUCAAGUAACCACCAUACAUCCUACGUUAAAAGUAACAACAAACUACAGCUGCCCCAACUACAACUACAACAGAUGCCCCAACAACUACAACGACAAAAAG
rnacentral:lncRNA from 1 species